UACGUAGGUGGCAAGCGUUGUCCGGAAUUAUCGGGCGUAAAGCGCGCGCAGGCGGUCCUUUAAGUCUGAUGUGAAAGCCCACGGCUCAACCGUGGAGGGUCAUUGGAAACUGGGGGACUUGAGUACAGAAGAGGAGAGUGGAAUUCCACGUGUAGCGGUGAAAUGCGUAGAUAUGUGGAGGAACACCAGUGGCGAAGGCGGCUCUCUGGUCUGUAACUGACGCUGAGGCGCGAAAGCGUGGGGAGCAAACAGG
rnacentral:rRNA from 1 species